GUCUGAAGUGAAUCAGCUCCAACCAUUUCCAAGUAAACAGAGAUGUGGCCUUCCACAUUUUUCUUCUUGUUGCCAUUCGGGUAGAGCACUAGUUUCCUGGGAGCAAACAUACAGUAUGGGGCGUAUGGCUAACAUUUUAUUUUUAACCAGCUUACACAGCACAUGAUACACGAAACACAUUAUUGCAUUACAGAGAAAAUGUCAUAGAACUAGUGUCUGACAGUGAGUGUGAAACAUAAGUUUGCACAAGAUGAUAUUAAACUAAAACUUUA
rnacentral:lncRNA from 1 species